AUGUACAUGCCUACAACAUAGCAUUACUGCAUCAGAUCCAAUUAUAACUCUAUAGUUAAGAGUGCUUGGGCUAGAGUAGCAUUGGGAUGGGUGACUGCUUAGGAAGUCCUAGUGUUUUACAUU
rnacentral:rRNA from 1 species